rnacentral:rRNA from 1 species
CAAGAGCGUAUAUUAAAGUUGCUGCGGUUAAAAAGCUCGUAGUUGGAUUUCAGUCUAGGAAGGUUAACUCGCCGAAAGGUUGCACGUUGAUUUUCCUCAGACUUCGUCAGAAGCUCGUGCUGCACUUAACUGUGUGGUACGAUGUUCUGACCUUUUACCUUGAGGAAAGUAGAGUGUUUCAGGCAGGCUACCCAGCUUGAAUACAUUAGCAUGGAAUAAUGAAAUGGAUCUCGGUUCGAUUUCGUUGGUUCUAGAGCUGAGGUGAUGAUCAAUAGGAACAGGCGAAGGUAUUCGUACUUGAGAGUGAGGAGUGAAAUCCGAUGAUCUCUUAAAGACGAUCCGAGGCGAAAGCAUUUGUCAAGGAUGUUUUCAUUGA